rnacentral:lncRNA from 1 species
GUUGCUUCAUUUCUUCACAAACUUUUAAUCUUUCUUGCAUAAAGAUCCGAUCUUUGAGGUGGGUUUAUCUUUAUUCUAAAUUCCAACAUUUUUUGAGCAUUUUUUUGUGAUUUUUGUGAUUUUUAGCCGUGAAUUAGGUUAACUGAUGGCAAAUAAAGGACAGGUUUGACCUACUUUUAACUCCGCAAAUACCCAUAAAACUUUAGAGAGAUUUUAUAGGCUGAUUCUAAACACACCCCCUCUCCUCCUGAUUAUACCCCUUGUGAGAGGAAAACUGUCUGUCCCACGCAGACCCCACCUGUAAGUAUGUGAGAGAAGGGGGGUGUAAAAAGUAAUUAGGGGGUGUAGAAAGUAGCACCUAUUUUAUAUCAUCAUCAGUCGAUGGUCUGAUGGCUUCUACUUCAAGAAUCUUGUGGUUUUUAUGCUUUUAAACUUCAUCUUUUGACUGUUUUUUCUUUUAUUUUUUCCUCGGAUUUAGAUUUGCUAACUCUUUGAGAUGAUACAUUUAACUUGUAUAAAGAAGGUCUAAUAGGAGAUGUGCAGUAGCCAUUCUAGCUUUAGCUGAUGGACCAGGUGGUAGAGACUAGAGUUCAAAUCCUCAAAUGAGUAUAAUUAGUAUUUUUGGUGUAGUAUCGCAUAUAAUUUAUAUAUGUGUGGGCCAUCGGGGGGCAAAAGUGAAAGUGCACUAAUUUUAACGUUAUUUUACUAAUUUCGUGAAAAUAACGUUAAAAGCUGAGGACGGUUGCAUCAUGUGGUGGCAUUGAUAGCUGAAAGACAAAAGGGUACAUGCACUAAUCGGUCUUUGUCCCGAUUGCCGAGUGUUAUGUGCCUUAUGUCCAAGGCUUGAUGCAAAACUACUAUCGAGCCGGGGGUUUCACUGGAAGCAGUCUCUCUAUUCCUAUGGGGUAGAGGUAAAGCUGUCUACAUCUUACCCUCCUCAGACCCUACCUUUGCUUUGCUAUUGGUGAGAUUUACUGAGUAUGAUGAUGAUGAUGAUGAUGGUGUAGUAUAGAUUAGAAAUAAUAUUACCUUUAGCGU